CUAGGUGGAUGUUCGGUGGUUUGAAUACUUAACUGUUGAUUAAGAGUUUGUAAGAUCGAUGCUUACUCACCUAGA
rnacentral:tRNA from 1 species